rnacentral:rRNA from 1 species
AGUGAACGCUGGCGGUAGGCCUAACACAUGCAAGUCGAACGGCAGCACAGGAGAGCUUGCUCUCUGGGUGGCGAGUGGCGGACGGGUGAGGAAUACAUCGGAAUCUACUCUGUCGUGGGGGAUAACGUUGGGAAACUUACGCUAAUACCGCAUACGACCUACGGGUGAAAGCAGGGGAUCUUCGGACCUUGCGCGAUUGAAUGAGCCGAUGUCGGAUUAGCUAGUUGGCGGGGUAAAGGCCCACCAAGGCGACGAUCCGUAGCUGGUCUGAGAGGAUGAUCAGCCACACUGGAACUGAGACACGGUCCAGACUCCUACGGGAGGCAGGAGUGGGGAAUAUUGGACAAUGGGCGCAAGCCUGAUCCAGCCAUACCACGUGGGUGAAGAAGGCCUUCGGGUUGUAAAGCCCUUUUGUUGGGAAAGAAAUCCAGCUGGCUAAUACCCGGUUGGGAUGACGGUACCCAAAGAAUAAGCACCGGCUAACUUCGUGCCAGCCGCCGCGGUAA